rnacentral:lncRNA from 1 species
GACAGCUCCUCCGGGGCCAGCGGGCACCAGGCUUGGGGGCUGAGGCCCAGCGGCCCGAGACCAACUGGGCUGACCGAGGCCGCCUCCCCGCCAGCCCUGGGGUCCACUGCCCGGGGAGCAGCUCCCUUCCCAGGUCAGACUCGGGCUUCAUCCUCUCUUGCCGCGCGCCGAGCGGUUUUCAACUCUCACUGCUAGAAUUCCUCCAACCACCCAGGAUAGCAGGACCGAGAUACAUGGCCACCCAUGACCCGGAGCGUCCACUUCCAGGGACAGGCAGUGGUGAUUGGCUUCGGUUGUCAUCUGUGCCAUCUGUCCAUGGUUCGAGAAGCUGCUGUUCACGUUUUGGGGAGGAUCAUGGUUUGAGGGCUCCCGUGGUAGAAUUUGGGGAGCUCUCAUAGGCAGAAGGCUGAGAAAAGUUGGUGCUGUGGGAAGUCAACUGGCAGCCGAUGGAGUCGGGACCCGGGAGGAAUGGAAAGGGAACCCAGAUAGGAAGCUACUGCAGUAGGCUCAGAGAGGUGAUGACGGCAGGGCUAAGACAGCGGCCUUGGGCGGUGACUGGGAAGAACGUUGAACACCGUGUUUGGGCUGAAGAAAAGAGCAAGGGAAGAGGUGAGGAACUUCAGUCCCAGCUGCUCUGGAGUUUGAGGCAGGAGGAUGGCUUGAACCCAAGAGGUGGAGGCUGAAGUGAGCCAAGAUCGCGCCACUGCACUCCAGCCUGGGCGACAGGGCAAAACCCUGUCUCUAAAAAGAACUUUUUAAAAAAGCACCUGUAGAUUUAAGCACAUAAUAACUACACUUUUGUCUGUUUUAUUAUGAUAUCAAAGUUAAAUUUAUGAUGAAUGACUAACUGGACAAAACUGAGAGCAACCACCACAGAGGUGAAUAUACUGAAUGUAUAACACUCUCUAAUAAUUUUAAGAACUCCGCUCUAAUGAGCAGAUAUCACAGAAAGAGACUUUUCAGAUGAAAUACCGAUGACCAGGAAAUCUGUGAGACCAUUUUAAAAAAUUCGAAGUCAUUGAAGAAAUGCAAAGCUUCCAGGCUCCACUUUUCACUGAUGAAAUUGGCAGAGUUUGGGACAAUGAGAUGUUGCUGUCCCGGGAGUGCGGAUGGGGCUGUGUCCUGUGAUGGCGGUGGGCACUGGCACUCUUGUCCAGAAAGACAUUCACCACUGUGGUUCAAGAAGCACCUCAAAGGUCUUCACCUUGGUCCCUUGUCCACCUCUGCCCGCGGUCUCUCCUCCUUUCAGCCUCCUCUUUCCCACACAGUCCCUCCCGCCCUGGCUUGGUCCCCUUUCUUCUGACUGGGUCAGGCAUGUGGGUGACUCUUUGACUUCCAAGGCUCUGUCUACUUGGCUUUUUUCUUUCACCUGUUCUGCAGAAUAACAGCCUGAUUCGUUCCUCUUUUUGGGUCCUUCACUUCCAUACCUGGGAUUCGGGGCGUGGCCCAGAAAGACCCUGCAGUCUUGCAGUGUGGGGCUGCCAGCAUUUCAUGGCCUCCAAGCUCAGCUGGGCUGAAUGAACGCUGCCAUCCAGCGCUUGGCUCAUUUUCUGUCCCAUUUUCCUGAGUGCUUUUGCCAGACUUACACUUUUCUGAAAGCUACUCCACCCUACCCCAGACACACCCUCUCUCCUCGGAUGACCUGCCUCCUAAUUUCCUGAGAAAACUGGACAUGGCCACCUUUCCCCAGUGUCUGAGGCCCAGGUUGACCCGUGGUCAUGGUCGCUGUCACCACCCACCUGCCUGUAUGACAGAGUGAGACCCUGUCUCAAAAAAAAAUAAAAAGAAUGCCUCAUGUU